rnacentral:rRNA from 1 species
GACGAACGCUGGCGGCGUGCUUAACACAUGCAAGUCGAACGGAAAGGCCCUGCUUGCAGGGUGCUCGAGUGGCGAACGGGUGAGUAACACGUGGGUGAUCUGCCCCUUACUUUGGGAUAAGCCUGGGAAACUGGGUCUAAUACUGGAUAGGACCAUGCUGUAGGUGGUGUGGUGGAAAGAUUAGUUUCGGUAAGGGAUGAGCUUGCGGCCUAUCAGCUUGUUGGUGGGGUAAUGGCCUACCAAGGCGUCGACGGGUAGCCGGCCUGAGAGGGUGGACGGCCACAUUGGGACUGAGAUACGGCCCAGACUCCUACGGGAGGCAGCAGUGGGGAAUAUUGCACAAUGGGCGCAAGCCUGAUGCAGCGACGCCGCGUGGGGGAUGACGGCCUUCGGGUUGUAAACUCCUUUCAGCCAUGACGAAGCCCUUGUGGUGACGGUAGUGGUAGAAGAAGCACCGGCUAACUACGUG